rnacentral:rRNA from 1 species
GACAGAGGUGCCGAGCGUUAGGCGGAAUCACUGGGCUUAAAGCGUGUGUAGGCGGGCGGGCAAGUACCUUGUGAAAUCCCACGGCUCAACCGUGGAACGGCUGGGUAUACUGCCUGUCUUGAGCCAACUAGGGGCGAGCGGAACAGACGGUGGAGCGGUGAAAUGCGUAGAGAUCGGGGAGGAACACCAGUGGCGAAGGCGGCUACCUGGACCAGCACUGACACUGAGGCACGAAAGCGUGGGGAGCAAACAGG